GACGAACGCUGGCGGCGUGCCUAAUACAUGCAAGUCGAGCGAGCGGCGGACGGGUGAGUAACACGUAAGAAACCUACCGAUAAGCGGGGGACAACAUCCGGAAACGGGUGCUAAUACCGCAUACUUAUCGAUGGCCUUGCGGUGCAUGAGCUCGUUGGGGGGGUAACGGCCCACAAAGGCCAUGAUGCAUAGCCGACCUGAGAGGGGAAUCGGCCACACUGGGACUGAGACACGGCCCAAACUCCUACGGGAGGCAGCAGUAGGGAAUCUUCCGCAAUGGGCGCAAGCCUGACGGAGCCACGCCGCGUGUGUGAAGAAGGCCUUCGGGUUGUAAAGCUCUGUUGGAAGAGAGGCGGUAUCUGAACAGAAAGCAACGGCUAACUACGUGCCAGCAGCCGCGGUAAUAC
rnacentral:rRNA from 1 species